GACGAACGCUGGCGGCGUGCUUAACACAUGCAAGUGGAGCGACGAACCAGGGCUUGCCCUGGGGCAAAGCCGCGAACGGGUGAGUAACACGUGGGUAACCUGCCCCGAUGACCGGGACAACCCGAGGAAACUCGGGCUAAUACCGGAUGAGCUCACGCCACAUCAGUGGUAUGAGGAAAGGAAGCUUCGGCCUCCGCAUUGGGAUGGGCCCGCGGCCCAUUAGCUUGUUGGUGGGGUGAUGGCCUACCAAGGCGACGACGGGUAGCCGGCCUGAGAGGGCGACCGGCCACACUGGGACUGAGACACGGCCCAGACUCCUACGGGAGGCAGCAGUGGGGAAUCUUGCGCAAUGGGCGAAAGCCUGACGCAGCGACGCCGCGUGAGGGAUGACGGCCUCGGUUGUAACCC
rnacentral:rRNA from 1 species